AUUGAACGCUGGCGGCAGGCUUAACACAUGCAAGUCGAGCGGGGUGAUGGUGCUUGCACUAUCACUUAGCGGCGGACGGGUGAGUAAUGCUUAGGAAUCUGCCUAUUAGUGGGGGACAACAUCUCGAAAGGGAUGCUAAUACCGCAUACGUCCUACGGGAGAAAGCAGGGGAUCACUUGUGACCUUGCGCUAAUAGAUGAGCCUAAGUCGGAUUAGCUAGUUGGUGGGGUGAAGGCCUACCAAGGCGACGAUCUGUAGCGGGUCUGAGAGGAUGAUCCGCCACACUGGGACUGAGACACGGCCCAGACUCCUACGAGAGGCAGCAGUGGGGAAUAUUGGACAAUGGGGGGAACCCUGAUCCAGCCAUGCCGCGUGUGUGAAGAAGGCCUUAUGGUUGUAAAGCACUUUAAGCGAGGAGGAGGCUCUUUUGGUUAAUACCCAAGAUGAGUGGACGUUACUCGCAGAAUAAGCACCGGCUAACUCUGUGCCAGCCGCCGCAGUAA
rnacentral:rRNA from 1 species